rnacentral:rRNA from 1 species
GAUGAACGCUGGCGGCGUGCUUAACACAUGCAAGUCGAACGAUGAUGCCCAGCUUGCUGGGUGGAUUAGUGGCAAACGGGUGAGUAACACGUGAGUAACCUGCCCUUGACUCUGGGAUAAGCCUGGGAAACUGGGUCUAAUACCGGAUACGACCAUCUGGCGCAUGUCAUGGUGGUGGAAAGCUUUUGUGGUUUUGGAUGGACUCGCGGCCUAUCAGCUUGUUGGUGGGGUAAUGGCCUACCAAGGCGACGACGGGUAGCCGGCCUGAGAGGGUGACCGGCCACACUGGGACUGAGACACGGCCCAGACUCCUACGGGAGGCAGCAGUGGGGAAUAUUGCACAAUGGGCGCAAGCCUGAUGCAGCGACGCCGCGUGAGGGAUGACGGCCUUCGGGUUGUAAACCUCUUUCAGUAGGGAAGAAGCGAAAGUGACGGUACCUGCAGAAGAAGCGCCGGCUAACUACGUG